UGAAUUUCGGGAUCAAGGAUUUGGUCAUGCCACUGGUAUGCACUCUGACAGCUGUUCGCAGCUUCUUGAUGAGCCGUAAUGCCAUUAAUUUGGUGUUGCGGGGAAUCAGGACUGUUACUUUGAAAAAAUUAGAGUGUUUAAAGCAGGCAAGCGCUUGAAUACAUUAGCAUGGAAUAAUGAAAUAGGACGUUCGAUCCUAUUUUGUUGGUUUCUAGGAUUGACGUAAUGAUUAAUAGGGAUAGUUGGGGGCAUUAGUAUUCAAUUGUCAGAGGUGAAAUUCUUGGAUUUAUUGAAGACUAACUACUGCGAAAGCAUUUGCCAAGGAUGUUUUCAUUAAUCAAGAACGAAAGUUAGGGGAUCGAAGACGAUCAGAUACC
rnacentral:rRNA from 1 species